rnacentral:lncRNA from 1 species
GCUUACUUUCAGUGGUUUUUAGUAAAUUCUUAAGGUUGUACAACUAUCACCACCAUCUAAUUCCAGAAUAUUUUCAUCACCCCAAAAAGAAAUCCCAGACUCAUCAGCAGUCACUGCCAUUCCAUACUGUCUUAUUCUCUGGUAACCGCUAAUUGACUCUCCCUCUUUGUGGAUUUGUUUCUAGUGGACAUGCCACGUGAAUGGAAUCACAUAAUAGGUGGUCCUUGUGUCUUUGACUUAGCACAUUCUCAAGGUUCAUCCGUGUUGUAGCAUGUAUCAGGACUUCACUCCUUUAAAGAUACAGUUUUCACAAGCUCCCCAGCUAGUUCUGAUGAGUGGGCUUUGGGAGAAAAAGAGGAGCCAAUUCAUAUCAGGUGAUUCUUGGGUUAUUAUUGAGACAAGGGGAUUGUCUCAACUCGAAGACUUUAAUGUACAUUAUGCUCUUGGAAAAACAUCUCCAAGGAAACAAGUGG